GGGCUCUUAGCUCAGCUGGUAGAGCAGCGGACUCUUAAUCCGUAGGUCGUAGGUUCGAAUCCUACAGGGCCCACCA
rnacentral:tRNA from 1 species